CCCUGAACAGGGUAUAUUAAGUUUGUCACGAAGUUUGUAACACCCAGAAGGAAGCGUCGGAGACCCUAUAAAGUAUAUUUAUAAAUGAUGAGUAUGUUGACGUUGCGAGUUUUCGAGAGAAAAGUUCUGCGAAAGAUUUAUGGUUCUUUGCGCGUUGGCCACGGCGAAUACCGCAUCCGAUGGAACGAUGAGCUGUACGAGAUAUACGACGACAUCGACAUAGUUCAGCGAAUUAAAAGACAGCGGCUACGCUGGCUAGGUCAUGUUGUCCGGAUGGAUGAAAACACUCCAGCUCUGAAAGUAUUCGACGCAGUACCCGCCGCGGGAAGCAGAGGAAGAGGAAGACCUCCACUCCGGUGGAAGGACCAAGUGGAGAAGGACCUGGCCUCGCUUGGAAUAUCCAAUUGGCGCCACGUAGCGAAGAGAAGAAACGAUUGGCGCGCUGUUGUUGACUCGGCUAUAAUCGCGUAAGCGGUGCCUACGCCAGUAAAGAAGAAGAAGAGUAUGUUGAGCUGAGUCGAUUUAGCCAUGUCCGUCUGUCCGUCUGUCUGUAUAUUUACGAAUUAGUCCCCCAGUUUUUAAGAUAUCGUUUUGAAAUUUUGCAAACGUCAUUUUCUCUUCCAGAAGCUGCUCAUAUCGGACCACUAUAAUAUAUCUGCCAUACAAACUGAACAAUCGGAAUCUAGUGCUGGUAUGGGAAACUUCCUCAUUUGACAAUAUAGCUUCACGAAAUUUGGUAUACGUUAUUGUGCAAAGAAAUAAUGUAAUAUCGUAAGAAAUUGUUCAGAUCGGCUCACUAUAGCAUAUAGCUGCCAUACAAACCAAACGAUCGGAAUCAAAGGCUUGUAUGGUAAACUUUCGCAUUUGAAGUGGUAUCUUCACAAAAUUUGACAUGGAUUACUGCUUAGUGUAAUAAUAUAAUCUCUGAAAAAAUUGUUCAGAUCGGAUUACUAUAGCAUAUAGCUUCAAUACAAACUGAACACAUAGUUACUAAACGAAAUACACCUGUGAAGGUUCGGUGCAGCGAAAGUUAACGUUUCUUCUUGUUUUUUAAGCUUAGUACGCAGCUCUCAAGAAACGUAAAAACUUCAUAUAAAAAAACGCUUAAGAAACGGUCCAGAAACGUUCCUGCGAUAAAGUUACUUGUGCUAGUACGCAGCUCUUAAGAAAGCUAGUACUAAUUUUUAAUACUUCUUUUCAAUAAAAUGUGAAUAUGGCAAACCUGGUUUUGCGAAGAAACAUCAAAUCAACAAUUGUUUCUUGCAGGAAAUUCGAAGUAAUCGUCAAAUUCAUCCUAAAUUAGUUGAAAUCAUUAUUAUAAAGUAUGUUCCAUUUUGAAAUGUUGUAUAAAACCAACCAAUCAUCAACAACAUUCCUUAAAUCUCAAUGAAAAUAUUUGUGUUACCAUACACAUAUAUACAUACGCACAAAGUUUGUUUACUUUGUUUAUUCUCUCUUGCUCUUCUAAUGUGGAUCAUUCACAAUGCGUAACCAGCUGUCAAAAUUACUUGAGAAAUAAUGUAUUUUUGUUCUUGAGCAAUUACUUGAGAGCUGCGUACCAACCUUUACUUAAAAAGAAAUUAACAUCGCACAGGUACUGGCAGGGUAGAGUAGUUUUUGUUUACAUACAUACCUACAAGUAAAUGGAUUAUACUCAUAGUUGUUACUGAACAAGAAAAAGCAUAAUAUCUCACAAAUAUUCCUGAAUCACAGAAGAAUGCAAUAUUUAAACGGCAACGAUCAAUUUUGUGUUUUCUUACGUGUACUAUUAUCUCGGUUUUAGCCGUCGAUUAUUGCAUUCGAUGAAUGGUAUACAGUACUACAUACAUAUAUGAUUAGACAUAGGACGUGAAACGCCCCUCUUCUGCUCAACUCAUGCACAUUUAUACACUAUAACAGUAAGCAUAUAUUACGAAGUCGAUAUAAAAUGUAGAUUACCAACUUACCUAUUCCAUUAUAUUGUUAUCAUUAUUAAAGAUAUCCCUGACAACAAGGAGCGAGCGAAACUUCGGGUUUAGGCUAGUGUAAGAUAAAUACGUAUCUUAUUUAAGGAUGAUGUUAAUAUAAUAAAAUAUACUAAUGAGACAAAGUGAGUAUUUGAUCUUCAAAAUAAGUUAUUAAGAUACUAAAUUUGAUUGUAAUUCAUUCAUAAUUUCGUCGAAGAAUGAUAAGUUGAAAUGCGGAUAUCCGUUUUUUCGUCCGUCCGAGCUUCUAUCUUUGCAAUUUGUAACUUUAGUAAAAAAAAAUUGAGACAUAUGGAAAAAAAUGGAGAACAAGUUCUUAAAUGGGUGUAAUAGAACCACUGCCACGCCCACAACAUACCAUUAAGUGAAAAUUUAUAAAGUGUCAUAACUAAGCACUAAAUUAAGACAUAAAACUGUAAUUUGGCACAGAAAAUUACAGUUACAUGGGGCACCUGCGGAAAAUUUUUUUGCAACAGUGGGCGUUUCGCCCUCUAAAUGGUUAAGUGUACACAUCUUCCAAGCCACUAACGCUACCUUAACCAAGCUUGAUGUAAAGAAGUAUUUUUAACAUUUCUUCAUAUACUGUGAAAAUGGCUAAAAUCAGUUAAUAAUAACGCCCACUCUGCGUAUAACAGUUAUGUUGAACAUUCCUAAAUGUGCGAUAACUCAGCGAAUAAAUGAGCCACAAGCAUUAAAUUACACAACAAGCAUAAACAGUAAGUGGCGUUAUAAGAACUAGUGUAAAAAUUUGGCAAUGAGCGUGGCUCCACCUAUAUGAAAUCCUAUAUCUCAAAUACUAUUUGACUAAUUUCAACCAACUUUGCUGUGUGAGAAAUGAGCCAUAUUGGUUGACAACCACACCCAACCUGAAUUCCAACUUCAAGUCUUUCACUUUACAGUAUACAAAUCAAAUAUCAAUGAAGUUAUUUGAGUAAAACUUUACACAAAUAGUGUCCUCAGGUUAUUUAACGUUACACCCAAUUUGGUUAUAAAUAUGUGUAUAAAAUCGGGUCAACACUUCUCUUAACCCCCAUAUACUUGUAGUUAUAUAACAUAAAUAUUUUUGGACUUCAGGUUCACUUUAUAACGUAUCUAUCGGUCAAUAUGCAAGAAACGUAAAUAAAAUUCCGAAAAAAUGAAGGUGUUUCUUAGGCUUUUAUCCUUGUAAGUUAAAAGAAUAUAAAAUGUUGCAGGAAUACCCUUUAAAUUUCAUAUGAACGUGUCUUUGUUUUAACACCGGUCGAUACGAUUUUUGGGUCUAACUUUUGCACGUUAAAUUUCGGUUUCUACACUACUAUACCAAAAACACGGGAAACAAGACAUUUUUUCAUGAAAUUUGCUUUUGUGGACACUUAAUUCAUACUUUUUUAUGUCCGUAUGCGCUAAAAAUAAACAGUAUAUUUCAGUACAACGACACUCAUUUAGAUGGUAUAUUUUCCAUACUUAUAUGAAAGUGCAAUUGGCGAACAUUUUGUCUUCGUCACAUUGACCAUCGUGUUUGUACACAUGUAUUCAUUCGAGCUAAUUAAAAUUGUAACACCUUUAGUCGGUCGCCACGUCAACAUUUAGUUAUUUACAAGUCUCUCACGACAUACGCUACAUACUGUCGCACAUUCACACAAUAUAUUUACGUAUAAAUACCAACAUAAACCGGCGGCUCACCGCAAUGUCAAAGAGUCACAUUGCUCACAUUUGCUCGCGCGUUAAUCGCUAUUCCUUUUACCUUUUCAAAUUGCACUUGCAUGACUGACCGUCGCAUGCCGUCAAAACGUUGGCGCCGAAGUCAACGAUGCUAACACAUAGCGAAUCGAACAGUAUAAUAUGCAAACAUACAUGACAGCAUGACCUCAGCCGAAAUACAGCCGUAUGGCCGUUGUUAGGCUAUAUUCAUAAUAUCUAUGAUUAUAUAUAUGUAUUACAUAUACACACAUAUAUCAUUUAUGUAUAUUGUAUAAAUAUGUACACACACUUGCAUACGAGCCGAUAUAUUCACAUUAAACCUGUUAAAGCUCUUCAUAAGACUUUUUUAAAAAUUGUUAUUAGUUUAAAAGCUUUAUAUUUUUGAAAUGAGCGGACUUAAGUUCAUAAGACUAAAUUAGUGCUACAUUUGCUACGGUUUGCGCACGUUGCCGAUUUGAUGACACGGUGUUAGGAAAUAAACGGAUAAGUGUGUAAAAUCAACUAAUAUUGCUGCGGCAGUAGUAUCAGCAGUUGAUCGGUUGUACGUGGAGAUUUUUUGACCGAUUGUAGUUACUCCUUGCCUCCUAAACAUUAUCGUCAUCGAUCAUCAAUACAUAGAAACGUAUACGUUAAAUUAUGCCAAAUAAUGCCGAGGAAUGGAAAAUAAUUGCAGCCGAUUUUGAAAGUAAAUGGAAUUACAACCACUGCAUAGGUGCUAUUGAUGGAAAGCACGUCAAUAUAAUAAAACCAGCUAAAUCCGGAUCUUAUUAUUAUAAUUAUAAAAAACAAUUUAGCAUAGUGCUGAUGGCGAUAGUCAGCGCAAAUUAUGAGUUUUUAGCAGUAGAGGUCGGCAUGAAUGGAAGAGCUUCUGAUUCUGGUAUAUUUGGGCAAUCAAAAUUUAAAUACAAAUAUGAUGAAGGACUCCUGAACCUUCCACAACCAGAAAAAUUGCCACUUUCUGACGAUAUUCUACCUUAUGUGCUUGUUGGAGAUGACGCAUUUCCUCUUUUAGAAAAUUUAAUGAAACCUUAUAGUCGUCGCAAUUUAAAUGUAGAGGAGCAAAUAUUUAAUUACCGAUUAUCUAGAGCACGUCGUGUUGUUGAAAACUCAUUUGGAAUUUUAGCAAAUCGUUUCAGAAUUUUACAUACAACUAUGAAUUUGGACCCCGAAAAAAGUGCUAAAAUAACACUUGCAUGUUGCUAUUUGCAUAAUUUCUUAAUAAAAACAAACUCAUCUGUUUAUUUAAGAAAUGAUGUAAACAAUGAUUGUGUCCACUUGGUAGACAUGCAGCCGACGAACUAUGGAAAUAUAACACAAAAUUCUGCAAAUAUUCGUAACAAAUUUUGUAACUAUUUUAAUACAGUUGGAGCCGUUGAGUGGCAAAAUAAAUUUCUAUAAAAUACUCAAAUAAAACUUUAUAAUGUACAAUAUAUUGUCU